GAAGGUUAACACGGCCGUGUUGGAUUCAACACUGGCCGUGUUGGAUGCAUCAAACAUCAAAGAAAAAAAGAGGUUUUUAGGGAGCACGGCCACAGAGAGUAACACGGGCAUCAACACCAGAACGUGUUGGGAACACGGGCAUCAACACGGCCAUGUUCGUGGCAGCUGGUCAAAUUCAUUUAAAAAGAAAGAAAAGAGAAAAAGGGAGGCAACUAGGGUUAGAAUGUCCAAAACUCAUCUUUUUCUCUGUCUAAGGGUUUUCUGAGUUGAAACUAAAGGAGAAGGAGACUUGGAUCAAGGUUUCACUUGGAUUCUCUUUGAAGAUCAAAGAUUGGCGAGGAUUG
rnacentral:lncRNA from 1 species